UUAUGUAUAUCAUUUUCAAUUUAUAAAAUAAGUUCUUUAAUUUUCAAGACUUAGCUAAAAUAAUUUUUAAAAGUUUAUUAUAGCCACUGUGACAUUAUGAAAAUCUAACACUAUAUAGUAACAAACAACAUUUUUUAAUAUGAUUUUGCAUAUUUAAUUAACUUAUCUUUUUCAAAUGGCCCUUUGUUCUUAAAUUUGUUGGCAUUUUUUUACAAAUAAAAUUAUAAUGUCCUAUUAAUUUAUCCAAUGUACUUAAAGAUUAAUGAAAUAAAAAUUUCCAAUACAAGAAUGAAAGCUUCUAUCACUUAAAUAGUUAUUGACAAUAGUGAACUGAUAUGAAGGCUACUAAAAAGUUAGAAUUGCUGAGGGAAACGAGUAUAAAACCACUUCUAUUGAGAAUUUUUUUUUACAAACUCACGAGAAAAUAACUCUUUAAAAACUUUUAACAUCAAUAAAACUAAUGCAAAGUUAAAUCCAUUUUGUUAGCCCUAAAUUGAUAUUCUUUAUUUGUUAUUUUUUAUCAAUCUUAGAAUACAUAUCAAGUGUUUCAUAUUGAUUUAUGGAGAAGCAAAACAAUGUUGAGAAUAAUUUAAAUCGCAAAGAGGUAUGAAUUUCUUAACAUACCUUCCACACCAUGAUUUGAGGCCAUUUUAUUCUUUUGAUAGUAUUAUUCUAGCAUUUAAGAUGACGUCAUAGGUGUAAUAAGUAAAAACACUAUUAUUAUACGAAAUGGAUUUAGUAAUGAUAUAUUGGGUCCUUAAAAUGGGUUUGUUGAGUAAAAUUUAAAAUUUUAAAAUUUAAGGAUGAGUUUAUUUAGUAAAUGGGUUUAAUGGGUAGAUUGAUUAAUUCAAAUAAAUGAGUUUAAACAAAGAAUUAAACCAUUGGCACCUCUUUAAAAAUUUAUUAAAACCCUCUUACAUUUCACCCAAAACUGAAAUUACCUAAAAAGACAUUAUAUUUGAUAAAACUCUCAUAAUUGAUUUCAGUGAAAACUCUUUAUUCCCUAUAAAACUUGCAUGUCUUCUAAAUUUCAAUCAAAAUAAACUAGGAAGCCAACAAUGUCCCAAAUUUUAGGCCAACUAACAACUAGACAGGUAUCAAUUCCUAAAAAUUCAAAAUCUUGUAGAACAAUAAAAACAACAAACAUAAAUCGCAAAGAGUUGUGAAGUUAAGAAGCAAUUGUGCCAAAAGGAACAUUGUCCUUAAAAAACAAAUUUUGUCUAUCUCAGUGUGUAAAGGGAAUUGAAAACAGUCGAAACAUCAAGAUUCAAUUAUAGUGAUGCACUCAAAACUACAAUUGCUUUAGAACAACUUGUUUUAUUAUUUUUAUUAUUUUUGGCUAACUGUGAGUGUUGGGACAAGAAAUUCCUUUGGCGAAAACCAUCACCUAUAAUUUGAGAACAUUCAUGUUGUAUCACCAAGAAUUAAUAAUAAAUUAUGUAGAAGCGUACCUAAAUCUAUAGUACUUUAUUGCUCUCUGGAGUUGUGUGAUUGGCCUUCCAAAUCUACAUAUUCUCUAUGAGAAUCCUUUAAUUUUUGUUGCGCUCUCUUUUUCUGAUGAUGAGAUGUCAGAAAUAGUAAAAAGAUACAUGUGACCUGAGGACCAUGACCACUUAUAUAUACAACUUUUCUUAUUAUUUUUAGGUAUUUCUAUUUCAACUCAUCAUAGAAAUAGAAAUUACCUUUUAUGUCUCUAUACAUUAAAAGCUCACACCUUAUUAAAUGAUGCAUUAAAGCCUAAAUUACUGAAAACCGUAACAGAUCAUUUUUAAUUAGGCUUAAUCCUAUAUGACAGUUUACAACACAUAAUUAUUUACAAUAUAAGCUUAAUGUUGAAUUAAAGAUCUAACAAUAUUAGAUUACAAAUCCAACUAUAUCUCCCACUUGAAGUAAGAAGAAAGAGGAAGAAGACAAAUUGAAUGCAAAAACAACAUGUUUGUAAUAAGAAUUUCCCAACCGCUGCCAGUGUUUAUUACUAUUUAGGCUUAUUUUAGGGAUAAGUGAGUGUUAUAAAAUUGUUUAAAUUGUUUCUUAAUAUUUUAAUGGGGUUAUUUGAGAAUAAGAGUUCUAACAGUUUUCUUUUUCUUUUUUUUUUGGAAGAGUGAUAAUAUAUCCAAUCUUAAACAAAUCAAGUUGUCUUCAAAUUAUAACUAAUGUGAACUCUAUGUAGUUAUCCUUUUAGGUAGGUUUCCAAAAAUUGUGGGUAGAAAUAAUUGUAUGACAAGAAUGGGUGCAUUUUCAAUAUGCAUGACAUAUGGUUUAGAAAUUUUCUACACAUAAAUGACCUACAAUAAAACCUUGUAAAAUAAUAUUUGAUAAAUUGAUAAUUAAUUAAUUUAAAACAAAAAAUAUAUGAUGUAUCUAUGAUUUUUUUGUUAUAUUAACAUAAUAUUUUAUACAUUUCAUUGGUCAUUAUGUUUUUUUUUCACCGCUUAUAGAUGAUAAACCUUGUAUUCUAUAUGUUAUGUUAGGAAAAAUAAUAGAGAGAUUGGCCUAAUAAAUUAUCUCCAAAAUAUCUUUUCUUAUGAGUAAUUCACUUAAUCAAGAUCAAACCAUGAUCAUAUCAUAUAAUUUGAUAUAAUCACCAUAUUCUUUAAUUAGACUAUCGUAUUUAAUAAAAAAAUUUACUUUAUUUUAAAACUUUUUAAUAAAGAAUAAAUUUUAAGUAGUGCGCUACUCAUUGAUUUCAUUUUAAGAAAAGAUGGUCAAAAGUCUUAUGAAAUUAAAAAAAAAAAAUUAUGGAUCGAAUUCCAUGCAAGUAAACACCAAGAAUGAUUUCUAUUCCCCGUUCUGGCAGGCAAACACAUCCUCAACUCCAAAAACAUUUUUAUGGAAGCAGUAUUCAUCAUUGUAUAAUGCCUUAUUUAAUGCCCUUGUGAAAUUAUUCUCUUUUAAAUCAAUAGACCUCAGUGAAAGUGUAACUUUGCAGCAAUUUGUGAUUGAAGAGAAUUCAAGUACUAAAAAGUCACAGGCAUUCAAAAAUAAUUUAUUUUGAAGUGAUUUAAUUACAUAAUGAGUUUAGGACUAGUUUAGUAAUACUGUAGUUUUUAAAAUAAUUAUUAUUAGUUGUACUAUAAAAAUAAUCACGUAUGAAAAGAAUUAAUUAAA
rnacentral:lncRNA from 1 species